GACGAACGCUGGCGGCGUGCUUAACACAUGCAAGUCGAACGAAGUGGCGAACGGGUGAGUACUACGUGGGUAACCUGCCCUCCUUUUUGGGAUAAGCCUUGGAAACGGGGUCUAAUACCGAUUAACGGGGGAUGGGCUCGCGGCCUAUCAGCUUGUUGGUGGGGUGAUGGGCUACCAAGGCGGUGUCGGGUAGCCGGCCUGAGAGGGUGAACGGCCACAUUGGGACGGAGAGACGGCCCAGACUCCGACGGGAGGCAGCAGUGGGGGAUAUUGCACAAUGGGCGAAAGCCGGAUGCAGCGAGGCCGCAGGGGGGAUGAAGGCUGUCGAGUUGUAAACCUCUGUCGCUAUCGAACGGGUAGUGAGAGAAGAAGCGCCGGCUAACUACGUGCCAGCAGCCGCGGUAAUUC
rnacentral:rRNA from 1 species